GAUGACUAUGAUUUAAUAGCACAAAAAGCUAAUGGGUUUACGUAUGUGAAUUUAUAUGAUUAAUGCUUACUUGUGAUUUUAGGAUAACUGGAGAUAAUGAUUCCUUUUUUCCAUUGAUAUUGCAUAAAUAUUUUCCUAAGUAUUAUGUUACAAUAAAUUGGUUUAGAUUUUUUUUUUUUAUGAAAGUAAUCAAUAAUUACAAUGGAUAUUAAAACCAUAAUCAUGUUCAUUGAGGAUUUUCAAUAUGUAACAGGUCAAACAGGAACUUCAAUUGUGAACAUUGCAGAGAACACACCCAUCAGAAGAUGACCCUCAGAAAUAGGACAAUUAAUGAAUAAAAUGAACAGAGCCAGAACUGAAGGAGAUGCAUGAAAUGAGGAAUAUUUCAAAGAUUGCCUGAGCAUAACCACUGCUACUGGAUAAACAUAUGGCAAUAUAAAAGAGCAGGGUCAAUGGAGGUAUCAUACAGUAUAGGCCAUGAGAGACCCUGAAGAAGAAAGUAUUGAACAGAAACAAAAAUAAAACCAUUUUGACAUUUAUUGAAAUAUAGGAUCAAAGUCUUACAUGUAAAAUUUGGGCAUGUAAUGACUUUUCUCUAGCUCUAAGACUUAUAACAGUGAUGAUUUGAUUUAAUAUCUUUAUCCCGAUUUGUCGAAAAGAUUUGGAUAUAGUGCAUCAAUUAUUUUAAAGUUUUGAUACAACGAAUUCAUGCAUUAUACUUGUAACUGAGUUUUCUGGUGCGACACUCUUUUAUCGGCUUCAAAACUAAGUUUGUGAUUUCCAAACCAGAUUAAUGAGAUCAUGUAAUAUCUUUUAACAUCGGUGACUAUUUAAUCCAUUCUUUUACAUCUCAGAAGUAUUUUUAUUAUUACAGGGAAAAUAUGCAUUGUACACGUAUCUGUAAUAAACAGGAUUAUAGAAAUUUUCCAUAUAAUACAACACAAUCUUAGCAACUGAAGGCAAAUAUUUUAUUAAGGGUGUGAUCUAUUUAUCAAUAUGGUUUUCAGUUUCUUGAUCUACCUGUAAUGACUUGCUCCAAGUUCCAAUAUUUAAAUUUUAAUUUUGCAAACAUGGUUAUAAAAUUCUUUAAAAGCCAAAUAGUUUAGGCACAAAAUGCUUAUAUAUUUCCUAUCAUUUGUAAAGUGUACACUGAAUGAGAUGUGGAAUGUUAGAAUUAAAGUAUUAAAUAUG